CGCGAUUCGCCCUUCGGGGCGCAGCAGGCGCGAAAACUCCACAAUGUACGACAGUACGAUGGGGUUAUCUCGAGUGCAGUCCGAUAAGGGCUGCUUUUCCAUAGAGUAAUAUCCUGUGGGAAUAAGAGGGGGGCAAGACUGGUGUCAGCCGCCGCGGUAACACCAGCCCCUCGAGUGGUGGGGACUAUUAUUUGGUCUAAAGCGUCCGUAGCUGGCUGUAUCCGUCCCCCGUUAAAUCCAGCGUCCUAAGCGUUGGACUGCGGGUGAUACCAUACAGCUAGAGGGUGGGAUAGGUGAGCGGUAUUUCUGGGGUAGGGGCGAAAUCCUUUGAUCCCAGGAGGACCACCAGUGGCGAAGGCUGCUCACUAGAACACGCCUGACGGUCAGGGACGAAAGCUGGGGCAGCGAACCGGAUUAGAUACCCGGGUAGUCCCAGCUGUAAACGAUGCCAGCUAGGUGUUGGGUCGGCCACGCGCCGCCCCAGUGCCGCAGGGAAGCCGUUAAGCUGGCCACCUGGGGAGUACGGCCGCAAGGCUGAAACUUAAAGGAAUUGGCGGGGGAGCAC
rnacentral:rRNA from 1 species